rnacentral:misc_RNA from 1 species
GGAGAGGUUUAAUAGGUAUCAUAAACACGACCCAUUAGUCUGACAGCAUUUACAAAAUAUUGAAUGCACUCAUCAUCAUCCAACUAUUAAUACUACAAUAUCCUAAACAUCAAAAGUAGGUUCAAUGGCAUCGUAUCUGUUACAAACAUGUAAUACAAGAGAGAGUCAAGCAACUCAUUUAGCAACACUUGUCCAAGCUUGUUAAGAAAAUCACGGUACAAAAUAAUGUAAAUGACAAAUAAUAUGAAUUCUUUUCUCCAUUUACGAGUAAAUUCAUUAGUUAAAAAAAGAAAGCGAGGGGCAGAAACAAAAGACAACAAUUAUAACAUCAAAUUUCAGGACUUGAUCAUAAAUUCUUUUUUUUUUUUAAAUAUUUCACAACUAUUACGGUAAUGAUAUGACCAAUUUAUUCUCACCCUCUCUUCUUUUGAUUGCUUUGACUUUUUGGUCUGAGCACACUCCAGUCCAACUUUUCACGUUUGGGUUGCUUGAAGGAGGCUUUACUGCUAUUUGGUGAUAACUGUUGGCCACCUUCAGUUUUCGGUGAUUUAUUCUGAUUUUGUGAUUCAGCUACUACUUCAGACUGUUUUCUUUUUAGGUCUGUGUCAGAUUUUGCCUUAGAAGCGUCUGAACACCCAGCUUCAUCAUGUGACGAUCCAUUUUCUCUAAAAGAUGUCCGACUCUGACCACUGGAGCCAGUGGCAUGCACAUCAGACGCUUCAGGCCGACAGAAGUUAGCUGCUUCUUCAUUUAGUUUCUACCAAACAAUUGAUUUGGUGUGAGAGCAUAAGCCAUAAGAGAAGCUCAGGAGGUGACUGUUCAUAAGAUAAAAAUGUUCAGAUCACUUGAUCUUUAAACUCACAUCAACAGAAGGAUUAAAACUUUGAAAUGACAUCCGUCCCAUAACUGCUCCUGGAAGGGGAUCCCCUUCCAUUAUUACCAUGCUACAUGCACAUAAAAAGGCAGUGUAAGAGGUCCACAUGUUAUAAUAAUAUGACAUCAAGAAUCUAGACCAUGCAUAGGAGCUAAUAAAACAACACUAAUAUCAAGGUCAUAAUCAGUAAGAUAAUGGCUCUCAAACUGAUUAAGAAACCUCAAUUUAUGGACCAUUAAUCUUACAAAUAACAUCAAGGACCAUGGCUGAUAUAUCAACAAUUCAACAUAAUAAAGUGAAAUUGACGGACCAAAAUAUGGGGCAGUUUGAGUGGAAGACAAUCAUGCAAAAAUUACAAGAUUAAAUUUGUUCCAAGGACAGGGUCAUUCAUCCCGACAGUAAUACAAGGGGAAAAGGAAAACAGAAAAUGAAUGAUUGCCGUUUCAAAUGCUUGACAAAUAAAAUAUAUAGCUUCAUUCAUUUGCUUAUUUAUUCACUUUCAUAUUAUUCUAUUUAUUAAUGAUAAGAGGAAUAUGAUUCUCAAAGGAAUAAAAUCACACAAAGCCCAUACCAUAUUCUACCCUAAGGUAGUUAGCAAUGCAGUCGAAACUCAGAAAAGGAAACCAAGAAGAAUUAUGACCAACAAAACUGAAAUCAACUUAAAAUUCAAGAAGCAAAACUAAUAUAUGCUACAUUACCACUUCCUAAUGAUACCAGGGGAAAAGAAAUUCCCAUCUGGUUUCUCCUCUUCUCGUUUCUUAGUUUUUUCCUCUCUCUGAGCUGCCCUUUGCAUGAAUUAUAGAAUAAGAUUCCCACAUUAGUACACGUGUAAGUUACAAAGUUAAUUGCAUGUUCCAGAAAACAGAAGUAAAAAUUCAUCAAAGGAAAGGAAACCCAGAUAAAUCAAAUCAAAACCCAGUUCAAACCCAAGACUAGCAGUAGAAACUAACAACAAUGAAGCUAAAAUGAUAGAAUUUUUAAAGUUUGACGGGUAAACUACCUUCACGUUCUUCAGAGUACUAGAUAUCUCGCGCUUUGCCAUAUCUGGAGUUCUCUUCUGGAAACAAACAAAGGACCAGAUUAAAAACUUCGUAAGACCUCUUUCCUCUCCAAGAACCCGAAGCAAGCAGCUUUUGUGCUCUGUUGUUUCUACUUUAUACAACGAAGGCUUCAUUAAUUGGAAGAAGAAACUCUAUUUCUGAUUUAGGGUUUCAUAACCGC